CAGCCGUCCUGUCCUGGCCGCUCGCUCUGCUUCGCUGCGCCGCCACUAUGCUCUCCCUCCGUGUCCCGCUCGCGCCCAUCACGGACCCGCAGCAGCUGCAGCUCUCGCCGCUGAAGGGGCUCAGCUUGGUCGACAAGGAGAACACGCCGCCGGCCCUGAGCGGGACCCGCGUCCUGGCCAGCAAGACCGCGAGGAGGAUCUUCCAGGAGCCCGCGGAGCCGAAAAGUAAAGCAGCUGCCCCCGGCGUGGAGGAUGAGCCGCUGCUGAGAGAAAACCCCCGCCGCUUUGUCAUCUUCCCCAUCGAGUACCAUGAUAUCUGGCAGAUGUAUAAGAAGGCAGAGGCUUCCUUCUGGACCGCCGAGGAGGUGGACCUCUCCAAGGACAUUCAGCACUGGGAAUCCCUGAAGCCCGAGGAGAGAUAUUUUAUAUCCCAUGUUCUGGCUUUCUUUGCAGCAAGCGAUGGCAUAGUAAAUGAAAACUUGGUGGAGCGAUUUAGCCAAGAAGUUCAGAUUACAGAAGCCCGCUGUUUCUAUGGCUUCCAAAUUGCCAUGGAAAACAUACAUUCUGAAAUGUAUAGUCUUCUUAUUGACACUUACAUAAAAGAUCCCAAAGAAAGGUGAGUAUUCAAGUGGUAUGCCAAGAUU
rnacentral:sRNA from 1 species